AUGUUACAGUGGGUUUGGAAGAAUUGGGCUCCCCCCAAAUGCAAAUUUUUUGCCUGGUUGGUUAUCAACAAUAGGAUUUGGACGGCCGAUAGGCUCCAACGACGUGGAUGGCCUAAUUGUGAUCGUUGUCCUCUUUGUAAGCAGGUGCAAGAAUCCGCGGCGCACAUCCUCUUCCGGUGCCGCUACACUGUUCGAGUUUGGGGUAUAGUCAAAUCUUGGCUUGGCCUGGGGGAUGUGCAUCCUUCGGCUUGGGUGGUGAUGGAUUCGGUGAAGUCUUGGUGGAACCUGAUUGCAUCCAACACAUCGCAGUCGCGCCGGCCGAUGCUCUCUCUUAUGAUGCUAGUCUCAUGGGAAAUCUGGAAAGAAAGGAAUGCUCGUGUCUUUAGGGGCACCGCGGUGCCGGUGGGGUUAUUGUUGCUAAAAUUAAAGAUGAGUACAAGCUGUGGUGUUUCGCGGGGGCUAAGUGCUUGA
rnacentral:rRNA from 1 species